rnacentral:lncRNA from 1 species
UGUAGUUGGUUCCCCUACUCUAUGCCACUGUGUGCUUCAACAAUCUGUUUAGCAGAAUUUUAUUGGCAGACUCCAUGAUCUUCUUGUCUAAUUAAAAUAAAAUAAUAUCUAAUGCAGUGAACUUUUGUGAAUAACUUAUUCAGCAUUAAUCUUAAUACUUGAGAUAGAACAGAUUUUAUAAGUUAAUAUAAAAAUAUUACUGGUCAACUGAGAUGAAUAGAGAAAAUGUUUUCAUGGUAAAGUGCUAUCUAGAAUUUCCCUUUAAGUUUCACUGCUACUACUUUUGUAAAUAUUGGGUUACUAAGUUUACUUUUCUAUUGUUGGAUUUAAAAUAGAUUUUGAGAAACAAAGUCGAACGUACUUAGCACUGUUCUAUAACCUUACAAGCUUGCUGGGUUCGUUUAUAUAUAUUACAACCUUUUAGGGGACUAUAUAGAGAGAAAGACUUGGGGUGGUAGGUAGUAUAAUUGAAAUGUAGAUCAUAAUCUCUGUUUGUUUUUCCAAAUUAGUUAGGGGUUCUGAGGAUACAUUUUGAAUAUUUGUGUAUGUUUAGCAUUUCGUCCCUUUGUUAGAAAUCUCUCAGUGUGACUUGGUUUUAAUAGGAUGUGUCUUGAAUUGUGAGCCAAUCACUCUUGAAAAGUAUUAAGCCCUUUAAACACACUGGUCAGCCCCACAGAGGGAAGCCUACAGGUUUAUUAGCACUGCUUGGCCUGAAAGCACAGCAUACCCUUUUAGGUUGCACAGCAACAGACUCCUAGCAACCGUAAUAGAUUGAAUUUCUAAGAGUGACCAGGCCGGAUGUAAUAAUAAAGCAAGAGGUACAAACAGUUGUCAUGGUUUUCUUUUCUCAGCAAGCUAGUUUGAUUUAGGGAAGCUUAGCUUUUCAAAAAAUGGGCAAACUUCUAAUAAAACUACUACUGUUUGUACAUAGGACUUUUGGUAUUACCAUGGCAAUAAUGGCACCAAAAUUUAAGAGUCAUGGGUUAAUAAUAUGCUGAUAAUAAAACAAAAGUUAAAAGGAGUAUUAUUUAAAGUUUUCAGGAGGAAUGUUUUGAAAAAGAUGUUAUCAUAAACUUAAAUUAGAAUUGGAUCCAGAUAAUGCUAAUACCCUUUUUAAAAAAUAGAAACUUCACUAUAUUUAUGUUUUCUCUUUUUUUGGUGUUCUAUUUUAAUUUUAAUGCAAUUCCCUGUAGUUUUAUGUUGUGAUAUAAUUGAACAUUCAUAUAACAUUCAAAACAUUAAAAACCAGCUUAUUUUAGCUGCUUUGAAGUUACAAACCAAUUGAAGCAGAGAAUUUAUUAGAGAAACAAUAAUAAAGACAUAUUUAAUCUUUCAUAGUGAUAGGAAAAGCAUUGCUUGUCUACAGAUGUAAUGUGCUCUGACUUCCUCAGCAUUCUUUCUGUUUAGACAUUAGUGUGUGUUUGCCAAUGUUGCCGUGAAAGGGAACUUAAUUCAGAUAUAGUCACAGGCUGAAGAAGGAUGUUUCCAUCAAAAGAAGAGACUCUAGCUGUUGGGAGUUGAGAGUAGUACUGCAGCCUUUGACAGCAAUAAAGUGUAAAUAUACACAUAUGCUAAUACCCUUGAUUUGUUCAUCUUUUGUGUCAGCAUUUGGAAAAGAUUGUUAAAGUGGCAGUUGUAGUAAAGACUAGCAAUUACAGUAAAGAGCAGAAAUUAGGUAUUUGUGACCUAUUAUAUUUCAUUAAAAGACGUCCUUAUUAAAAUGGCACUGCUUACUCUGAUUACUUGACAGCUGCCCAAACAGAUUAGAAAAUACACAGUUUCAGCUAAAGGUAAAAUCAACCUUUUAAGCAAACUCCUAGUGCAGGACAAAUAAUAUAUGGUACAGUAUAAGCCUUUUUGAACAGUAUAUUUGCUUUUGGGAGAAAUGUUUAUCAGUGGCCAAAUAGCAUGUCCCCUUAGCGUUCGUUUAGAAAGAGCACACCAGCAGUGGGAUUUUCCCACUGAGAUGUCUUUCAACACUCAUCUGAGACUGCACUAGCUUUUCACUAGACAACUGACUUUGAGAAGAAUAGGUCUAGGGAGCAGCAUGGCUUCCUGAAAGCAUUUUCUGUCUUUUUUCUUGUAUCCACAACUCUAACUUUGGAAGCCUCAUUGCUAGGUUAUUUCUGAAAUAUUCUAAGUGUCCUUUGCUUGAGCCAGUCUAGCCCCAAUGAGUCCAGUACUUGAACGUUAGGCAUCUCCUUCACAAUAAUGAAUGGUCUUUUUUUUUUUUUUUCCUAGACAAAGUUUUCAUCUUCUAUGGCUCUUACUAACUCUUUUAGUAUUUCUACUUGCUUUGGAAAACACAAAGUAAAACAUCCUUAUUUCUUUGUCCCUGUCUUCUAUACCAUCAGGUAGAGGAUAAGCACUGUAGAGCAUUCUGUAAGUACCAAACACACACACACACACACACACACUUAGUAUGAAACUGAUAUAUACAAAGUUGACUUGUCAGAAUUUGCAAUAUUAAUAGAAAGCUGCUGUAUGUAUAUAUAUGUGUAUAUAUGUAUGUGUGUGUAUAUAUAUAUGUGUGUGUAUGUAUGUAUGUGUGUGUAUAUACAUACAUACAUACAUAUAUAUAUAUGGAACUGUAUAAUUUGCACAAAGUGCCAAACUAAGCUAUUUGAGACACUCAUGAUAAUUCCACUUAUACCCAAGCUGGGUUUUUUCAGCUAAAUAAGUACCUGGUAGAAGUUGGAGUAGAUAAUAUCAUGAAUUGUAUCUUACAAUUGUGAGGAAGGGGUUAUGCACACCAUAGAUAUAGAACCAAGCAAUGAGGUUGAAGAGUUCCUUGGUAAUAAUAAAGCAGAUGAAAUAGAUAAGAAAAGACAGAAUUUAAAACAUGGCUAGGAUGUCAUCAGUGUACAUUUCAGAAGGAGGAUCCAGUGUAAAGAUAAAAGUGGUCUUACUGAGAUGAACUUGGCAGGCAUUUGCAGAAUAGAUAAUAGACCUCUUACAUGAAAACCUGUAAAACAGGAUUCUGAUUUUUAAUUCCAAAAGGCCUUGCUUGAACUCCUUUUGUUCUUCUUUUUACUUUGAAUUCAUGGGUGAUGCAGAUAACCAGUAUUGAAUGAAGCUGUAUUACAAAGUGUGAACAAGUGUUACACCUGCUAUAUGCUUGGCACUAUGACAGUGAGUAAUAUUGCUAGUGUAGCAGUUGAUUAGUAAGUACUACUACAGGUGAUGGUACUGUAAUAAUCACCAUCAAUUCUGUUGUAAUGAAGAUUGAUUCUGAGGAAACAUUUCUGUAAAGAGGAUGUGGGAAUCAUGCCAGUCCCUACAUCAAUAAUGGUCACAAAUCAUAUCCCUCCAUUCUUGAAUACUUAGCAUGAAGUAUAAUGGAACAUGUUCUACCACCGUAACUUGACCAGCUCUUUGUGGGACAGUGGUAAGAGGAGAACUGACUCAUCCUAUUGGUCAUGAACUAUAGUUCACCUCUUUCCCCAGUGUCCCAGGUGCUUUACUGUAGCUUGCCCACAUGUAUGCUCAACUUUAGAGCCUGGUCCCAUUGUUCUCAAGGGCUUUUCCUAACAAGUCCUGAGUCUAGAGGUGAGCAUGCCUCUCUAUCUGCACUGGUAAGGGUGGUUCAUGGCUGCCUACUGUGCGGUCCUCAGGGUCAACUUAUUAGAUUUCUAAGGGGUCAGCAUGACACUGAACUGAACAAACUUCUUUUCCUAAGAGCUGAGCCCUGGAAAGAUAGUCAUAGCUGACAUUCAGAAGUGCAAGGAGGGGCUAUAGAGAUGGCUCAAAUAUUAAGAACACUUGCCACUUUCCCAGAGGAUCUGGGUUCAUGGCCCAACACAACCUGAUAGCUUAGGACCAAAAGUAAUUUUAGCUUCAGAGGAUCUGACUCUUUUCUGGCCUCCAUGGACACUGCAUAGAUUUAUUGCACAGACAUACACACAGACAUAUAUGCAGGCAGAGCCUCCCCCGCCCUCUCUCACACACACACAAGUACAAGGACUUGGAACAAUGCUUUUUCUUGUCUGCUCUCAAGAUGGUGCUGGAAGUGCCUAUUUGGCAUGAUGACAAAUCAGCAGGGCUUCUUCCUGUAUUUGUGAAACGCCAUAAGAAUGAAAAGGUUAAAAGAUAGCUAGAGUCUUGGUGACUUGUAGAGUAGCUAAGAAAAACAGUAUUUGGGUGCAGUGUGGAUAGGACAUAACCUUGUGUUUGUUACCACCAUAUCUACUAGCAUCUAGUCACUUUCUCAUACUUUGCUAACCACCUUACCAGAGUAAGAAGUUACCAUAGAAUAUAGCAAGAGGGAAAUGUAUUACUGAAAAGUCACCAUAGAACUUAGGACACUAGGAAGGAAAGUUGGUUGACUUGGUAAUGUGCCUGUGCAUUGCAUGUGAGGAUCUUUGAUUGUAUAUAUGGUAUUCAACAUGCUUCCUUUUAAUUGAAUUAUUGAAUAUGAACAGGCUCUUAAGGAAUAAAUUAGACUUACUGUUAAAGUGAUGGGAGGUAAAGGCAGAAUUUCAUCAAUGAGCUAGUGUGGUAGCUGUGGAACUUGCAAUCCCUUAAAAGAUCUGAGCAAUUGUAUCACAGUGUGGUACAAUACAAUAGAGAAACAGCUGUUGCAAGAAGAGAUAUUGUUUAUAGCCUAUUUGGAGAGGAGGCAUUGGCAAAGAUAAAUUGACUAUAAUUUAGCAUGGACUUGCACUCACAAGGUUGACAUAGGGAAGGAUAUUUGGAGAAAAUAAUUAGGAUUAAAGGAAUAGGUAGAAGAUUUAAAAAGUCUGUAAUUAUAAGCCUGUAUAAUUAAUAAUUAUGUUGCUUAAAAUCACUGUGAAAUAUGUAGUCACUUCAUUUAUAAUAUAUACAAUAAACUUCAUUUCAGAGAGCAUUCAUAGUGUAACAGACAUAUCUGAUUAUGUAGAGUUUAAAUUGCCCACUUUUUUUGAGAAAGUGGAUUCGUUAAUUAGUAUAGACUGUUUCAUUUUGUUGAAUAUGACUUGUAAUCCCCUAGAUACACACAAACACCUGUGAUUAUUGUGUGAGCCUUGUCUUGUCUUUAGUUAGUCCUAAAUACAUGUAUUUAGAUUUGCUACCUGUUCAUAUAGACUCAGCUGUGCCUGUUUGCUUUGCUAUUUUUCCAAGUUUAAUGGACCAAUAUAAAAAUUUAUGGCAACUGUCACUUAAUGUCUCUUCUACCUUUAAGG